AGUAACACGUGAGUGACCUGCCUUCUAGACUGGAACAACUUACCGAAAGGUGAGCUAAUGCCGGAUGAGUUAUAUAAGUGCAUGUUUAUAUAGGAAAAGUUGGGGAGACCUGACGCUGAAAGAUGGACUCGCGUCCCAUUAGCUAGUUGGUAGGGUAAUGGCCUACCAAGGCGACGAUGGGUAGCCGGCCUGAGAGGGUGGCCGGCCACACUGGGACUGAGACACGGCCCAGACUCCUACGGAAGGCAGCAG
rnacentral:rRNA from 1 species